rnacentral:rRNA from 1 species
UACAGAGGGUGCAAGCGUUAAUCGGAAUUACUGGGCGUAAAGCGCGCGUAGGUGGCCAUGUAAGUCCGUUGUGAAAGUCAAAGGCUCAACCUUUGAAAGCCGAUGGAUACUGCAUGGCUAGAGUACGGAAGAGGCGAGUGGAAUUCCUGGUGUAGCGGUGGAAUGCGCAGAUAUCAGGAGGAACACCAAUAGCGAAGGCAGCUCGCUGGGACGUUACUGACACUGAGGCGCAAAAGCGUGGGGAGCGAACAGG